rnacentral:piRNA from 1 species
UGACAACGCCGCUCAAGAUAGCCA